AUUGAACGCUGGCGGCAGGCCUAACACAUGCAAGUCGAGCGGAUGAAGGGAGCUUGCUCCUGGAUUCAGCGGCGAACGGGUGAGUAACACGUGAGUAACCUGCCCUUGACUUUGGGAUAACUUCAGGAAACUGGGGCUAAUACCGGAUAGGAGCUCCUGCUGCAUGGUGGGGGUUGGAAAGUUUCGGCGGUUGGGGAUGGACUCGCGGCUUAUCAGCUUGUUGGUGGGGUAGUGGCUUACCAAGGCUUUGACGGGUAGCCGGCCUGAGAGGGUGACCGGCCACAUUGGGACUGAGAGACGGCCCAGACUCCUACGGGAGGCAGCAGUGGGGAAUAUUGCACAAUGGGCGGAAGCCUGAUGCAGCAACGCCGCGUGCGGGAUGACGGCCUUCGGGUUGUAAACCGCUUUCGCCUGUGACGAAGCGUGAGUGACGGUAAUGGGUAAAGAAGCACCGGCUAACUAC
rnacentral:rRNA from 1 species